rnacentral:rRNA from 1 species
UUGGAGGGCAAGUCUGGUGCCAGCAGCCGCGGUAAUUCCAGCUCCAAUAGCGUAUAUUAAAGUUGUUGCAGUUAAAAAGCUCGUAGUUGAAUUUCGGGAUCAAUGUUUCGGUCAUGCCGUUGGUAUGUACUGAUAUUAUUGAUUUCUCACCUUCUAAAGAACCGUAAUGCCAUUAAUUUGGUGUCACGGGGAAUUAGGACUGUUACCUUGAAAAAAUUAGAGUGUUUAAAGCAGGCUCACGCUUGAAUACAUUAGCAUGGAAUAAUGAAAUAGGACAUCCGAUUCUAUUUUGUUGGUUUCUAGGAUCGAUGUAAUGAUUAAUAGGGAUAGUUGGGGGCAUUAGUAUUCAAUUGUCAGAGGUGAAAUUCUUGGAUUUAUUGAAGACUAACUACUGCGAAAGCAUUUGCCAAGGAUGUUUUCAUUAAUCAAGAACGAAAGUUAGGGGAUCGAAGACGAUCAGAUACCGUCGUAGUCUUAACCAUAAACUAUGCCGACUAGGGAUCGGAUGAUGUUAAUUUUUUAAUGACUCGUUCGGCGCCUUACGGGAAAC